AAGACUAUACUUUUAGGGAUCAUUUCUGUAGUAUGUUACUAGAUUGGAACCUGCACUUUAACAAGAUCCCCAAGUAGUCUGAGUUGAAGUUUGAAAAGUGAUGUGGGGGGA
rfam:Erinaceus europaeus unplaced genomic scaffold scaffold00385, whole genome shotgun sequence